UCCAGACUCCUACGGGAGGCAGCAGUGGGGAAUAUUGCACAAUGGGGGAAACCCUGAUGCAGCGACGCCGCGUGAGCGAUGAAGUAUUUCGGUAUGUAAAGCUCUAUCAGCAGGGAAGAAAAUGACGGUACCUGAGUAAGAAGCCCCGGCUAACUACGUGCCAGCAGCCGCGGUAAUACGUAGGGGGCAAGCGUUAUCCGGAUUUACUGGGUGUAAAGGGAGCGUAGACGGCAUGGCAAGUCAGAUGUGAAAGCCCGGGGCUCAACCCCGGGACUGCAUUUGAAACUGUCAGGCUGGAGUGCAGGAGAGGUAAGUGGAAUUCCUAGUGUAGCGGUGAAAUGCGUAGAUAUUAGGAGGAACACCAGUGGCGAAGGCGGCUUACUGGACUGUAACUGACGUUGAGGCUCGAAAGCGUGGGGAGCAAACAGGAUUAGAUACCCUCGUAC
rnacentral:rRNA from 1 species